CUUUCCUCAGCCCUCAACAAACAUUCUCGAUCCAGGUCGAACUCAAUAAAAAGAAUCCGUAUUGAGAAUGGUGGAACAAAAUUACAUUUUUGGGUAAGGUCAAAAUCACCAAAAGUGAUUCCCUACCAAGAAUGACAUAAUAAAAUUAAGUUCUCGGUCAAGGUCCAAAUAACCAAUGAUUCCCUACUGAGAAUUGCGUAAUAAAAUUAAGUUAUCGGUCAUGGUCAAACUCACUUUUGUGAGUCCCUACUGAGAAACGGUUAGUGCCGUCCGUGGAAAAGAAAUCCUACCAAGAGUAGCGAAACCGUUAGGCCCUUGGCCAAAGCCAAAAUUCACUUUAAUAAUUAUACAACGACAACAAUGAAACAAGAAACCUCUACCAAACACAAUUAAGAGAAACACGUCAAAAAGACCGAAUGUAGUUACGCAAAUAUAACAAUACAAAUCGUCAAGUAAAAAACUCAUUUACCAUCGACAUCUUGAGGUGCCAAUUUAAUACUCAACAUGUUAAGCAUGCCCCGAAAAAAUCCAAACACA
rnacentral:lncRNA from 1 species